AGGACGAACGCUGGCGGCGUGCUUCAUACAUGCAAGUCGAACGAGAAUCUGGCUUCGGUCAGAGGAAAGUGGCGGACGGGUGAGUAAUGUGUAGAGAAUCUGCCCUUAGUGGGGGACAACAGUUGGAAACGACUGCUAAUACCCCAUAUGCGCGUAGCUGAGAUGCUAUUCGUGAAAACUCCGGUGCUAAAGGAUGAGUCUGCAUCUGAUUAGCUAGUUGGCGGUGUAAUGGACCACCAAGGCGACGAUCAGUAGCUGGUUUGAGAGGAUGAUCAGCCACAAUGGGACUGAGACACGGCCCAUACUCCUACGGGAGGCAGCAGUAGGGAAUUUUGCGCAAUGGGGGAAACCCUGACGCCAGCAACGCCGCGUGAUUGAAUAAGCCCUUCGGGGUGUAAAGAUCUGUCAGUAGGGACGAAACUUGACGGUACCUACAGAGGAAGCAUCGGCUAACUCCGUGCCAGCAGCCGC
rnacentral:rRNA from 1 species